rnacentral:rRNA from 1 species
AGAGUUUGAUCCUGGCUCAGGAUGAACGCUGGUGGCGUGCCUUAGGCAUGCAAGUCGAACGCCCUAACUUCGGUUAGGGAGUGGCAGACGGGUGAGUAACACGUAGGAAUCUACCCUUUGGUGGGGAAUAACUUUGGGAAACCAAAGCUAAUACCGCAUAAGCCGUUUACGGGAAAGGGCAUCACUGCCCACCGAUGGAGGAGCCUGCGUCCUAUCAGCUUGUUGGUGGGGUAAUGGCCUACCAAGGCGAUGACGGGUAGCUGGUCUGAGAGGAUGGUCAGCCACAGGGGUACUGAGACACGGACCCCACAUCUACGGAUGGCAGCAACCGGGAAUCUUGCGCAAUGGGCGAAAGCCUGACGCAGCGACGCCGCGUGCGGGAUGAAGGCCUUCGGGUUGUCAACCGCUUUUGUUUACCGGUCGACGGUAGACGAAUAACCACCUGCAAACUACGUGCCAGAAGCCUCGGUGAUACGUAGGGUGGAAGCGUUAUCCGGAUUUAUUGGGCGUAAAGAGUUUCGUAGGCGGUUGGUUAAGUCCAAGUUCAAAGACUGGGGCUCAACCCCGGAAAGGGUUUGGAUACUAAUCAACUAGAGGUCUUUAGAGGAUGUUGGAAUUCCUGGUGUAGGAGUGAAAUCCAUUGAUAUCAGGAGGAACGUCGAGGGCGAAGGCAAGCAUCUGGGAAUGACCUGACGCUGAGGUACGAAAGCUAGGGGAGCAAAUGGGAUUAGAGACCCCAGUAGUCCUAGCCGUAAACAAUCCCCGCUAGCUACUCCAGGUUUACUUGGGAGUGGCGUAAG